rnacentral:ncRNA from 2 species
AACAAGGUUUCCGUAGGUGAACCUGCGGAAGG